AAUACAGUGUUUUAUUAGCCAUCAGACAGACAGGAAACAGAAAGGUGUGUUUGUUUUAUUAGCCACCAGACAGACAGGAAACAGAAAGGUGUGUUUGUUUUAUUAGCCACCAGACAGGAAACAGAAAGGUGUGUUUGUUUUAUUAGCCAUCAGACAGGAAACAGAAAGGUGUGUUUGUUUUAUUAGCCAUCAGACAGGAAACAGAAAGGUGUGUUUGUUUUAUUAGCCAUCAGACAGGAAACAGAAAGGUGUGUUUGUUUUAUUAGCCAUCAGACAGGAAACAGAAAGGUGUGUUUGUUUUAUUAGCCACCAGACAGGAAACAGAAAGGUGUGUUUGUUUUAUUAGCCAUCAGACAGACAGGAAACAGAAAGGUGUGUUUGUUUUAUUAGCCAUCAGACAGACAGGAAACAGAAAGGUGUGUUUGUUUUAUUAGCCAUCAGACAGACAGGAAACAGAAAGGUGUGUUUGUUUUAUUAGCCAUCAGACAGACAGGAAACAGAAAGGUGUGUUUGUUUUAUUAGCCAUCAGACAGACAGGAAACAGAAAGGUGUGUUUGUUUUAUUAGCCAUCAGACAGACAGGAAACAGAAAGGUGUGUUUGUUUUAUUAGCCAUCAGACAGACAGGAAACAGAAAGGUGUGUUUGUUUUAUUAGCCACCAGACAGACAGGAAACAGAAAGGUGUGUUUGUUUUAUUAGCCAUCAGACAGACAGGAAACAGAAAGGUGUGUUUGUUUUAUUAGCCAUCAGACAGACAGGAAACAGAAAGGUGUGUUUGUUUUAUUAGCCAUCAGACAGACAGGAAACAGAAAGGUGUGUUUGUUUUAUUAGCCAUCAGACAGACAGGAAACAGAAAGGUGUGUUUGUUUUAUUAGCCACCAGACAGACAGGAAACAGAAAGGUGUGUUUGUUUUAUUAGCCACCAGACAGACAGGAAACAGAAAGGUGUGUUUGUUUUAUUAGCCAUCAGACAGACAGGAAACAGAAAGGUGUGUUUGUUUUAUUAGCCACCAGACAGACAGGAAACAGAAAGGUGUGUUUGUUUUAUUAGCCAUCAGACAGACAGGAAACAGAAAGGUGUGUUUGUUUUAUUAGCCAUCAGACAGACAGGAAACAGAAAGGUGUGUUUGUUUUAUUAGCCACCAGACAGGAAACAGAAAGGUGUGUUUGUUUUAUUAGCCAUCAGACAGACAGGAAACAGAAAGGUGUGUUUGUUUUAUUAGCCACUAGACAGACAGGAAACAGAUUAUAACAUCGUCAGAAGUAAAAAGUAAAAAAUAAAUACUGUAUAUAUAUAUUCAUAGAAAUAUAAAAUUAAAUCAAAAUAAUUAAAAUGCUGAAUAUGAAACUGAUGUAAUUCCAGGAGCUGUGAUGUUGAUGGGCUUCUGUCCCCUUCUGAGUUCCAGAACAUUUCCUGCUCUGUCUGUCUGUCUGUCUGUCUGUCUGUCUGUCUGUCUGUCCCCUUCUGAGUUCCAGAACAUUUCCUGCUCUGUCUGUCUGUCUGUCUGUCUGUCUGUCCCCUUCUGAGUUCCAGAACAUUUCCUGCUCUGUCUGUCUGUCUGUCUGUCUGUCUGUCUGUCUGUCUGUCUGUCUGUCUGUCCCCUUCUGAGUUCCAGAACAUUUCCUGCUCUGUCUGU